rnacentral:rRNA from 1 species
CCAAUAGCGUAUAUUAAAGUUGUUGCAGUUAAAAAGCUCGUAGUUGAAUUUCGGGGUUCUACCGUUGGUCGGGCUACCAAGUCUGUACUGGUGUGUAGAACUUCUACCUUCUGGGGAACCAUCAUGUUAUUAAUUUAGCGUGGUGGGAAACCAGGACCUUUACCUUGAAAAAAUUAGAGUGUUCAAAGCAGGCUUAUGUCUGAAUACAUUAGCAUGGAAUAAUAGAAUAGGACGGUGGUCCUGUUUUGUUGGUUUCUGAAUCACCGUAAUGAUUAAUAGGGAUAGUUGGGGGCAUUAGUAUUCAAUUGUCAGAGGUGAAAUUCUUGGAUUUAUUGAAGACUAACUUCUGCGAAAGCAUUUGCCAAGGAUGUUUUCAUUAAUCAAGAACGAAAGUUAGGGGAUCGAAGACGAUCAGAUACCGCCGUAGUCUUAACCAUAAACUAUGCCGACUAGGGAUCGGACGAUGUUAAAUUUUAUUGACUCGUUCGGCGCCUUACG